UGGGGAAUAUUGGACAAUGGGGGAAACCCUGAUCCAGCGACGCCGCGUGAGUGAAGAAGUAUUUCGGUAUGUAAAGCUCUAUCAGCAGGGAAGAUAAUGACGGUACCUGACUAAGAAGCCCCGGCUAACUACGUGCCAGCAGCCGCGGUAAUACGUAGGGGGCAAGCGCUAUCCGGAUUUACUGGGUGUAAAGGGAGCGUAGACGGCGAAGCAAGUCUGAUGUGAAAGGCAGGGGCUCAACUCCUGGACUGCAUUGGAAACUGUUUGGCUAGAGUGCAGGAGAGGUAAGUGGAAUUCCAGUGUAGCGGUGAAAUGCGUAGAGAUUGGGGAAGAACACCAGUGGCGAAGGCGACUUACUGGGCUGUAACUGACGCUGAGGCGCGAAAGCGUGGGGAGCAAAC
rnacentral:rRNA from 1 species